UACGUAGGGGGCAAGCGUUGUCCGGAAUCAUUGGGCGUAAAGAGCGUGUAGGCGGCCCGAUAAGUCCGCCGUGAAAGUCCAGGGCUCAACCCUGGAAUGCCGGUGGAAACUGUCGGGCUGGAGUCCGGAAGAGGCGAGUGGAAUUCCUGGUGUAGCGGUGAAAUGCGCAGAUAUCAGGAGGAACACCAAUGGCGAAGGCAGCUCGCUGGGACGGUAACUGACGCUGGAGACGCGAAAGCGUGGGGAGCAAACAGG
rnacentral:rRNA from 1 species